GCUGGGCUGGAGGCAGCUCUUGGCUUUCCCGUCCUCUGGAGCCCUAAGCUUGACUCCCCUUCCACGCUGCUCAGCUGGGACCUGGUGGGAAGGAAAUGGCUGCUUUGGGGAAGUUUAUUCUGUACACAGCAAUUCUUUUGUCUUGUCCUUUUCUCUUCUGCUCUCCCCAAAGCAGAGGUGAAGGCUGCUUGGCCUGGCUCGGCCUGUGGCUCUGUACCUUUGUACUCUGUGUUCAGGCUUUUGUGUUGCCUUGGGCUAAGCAGCUGUGAGGGGAGUGGAACUGCAUAGAUGUGUGGCUGCAGUGGUGUCUCUUUUGUCCAGAUAAAAAGCUUCAAACAACAUGGAAAAAAGAACUUGUUCUGAAAGCCUGAAAGUGCUGCAUGGACUGUCCUGAAAUGCCAACUGCCUGUCAGUGUCAUCCAUCAAGGGUCGAGCAAGGACUCGCUGUGACAGACACCUCUGCCUUAAAGGUUGCCUGAAGUGCCUGUACUGAUCCCGGCGCGGUGUUACCUGGCGCAACAGCAAACUGCAUCGGUGUCAGCACUCCUGAUACCAACAGGCAAAGGAACACAGCCCUGGAACUCAGGCAGCUCUGUCCCUGCCUCUGGGUGACCUUAGAGAAAUGCUUUGUAGCCUCUCUGCUUCAGAGUCCCCUCCCCUAUCUAGAGAAGAAAUCCAGUGUACCCCCAGCUGGAUAGCUGCAGCAGAGAUACAGCACAUCACCUGGGGCCUGUAAUUUAAAACUAGGUUUCCUGAUUCUUUACUAAUUUCACUAUCACAAAUCUAUAUUUUUUCAGUCAGAAAUUUAAAAAUCAGAGUAAGCAGAUUGGGGCUGGAAGGAUUAAUAUGUUUCCUUUGAUACUAGAAUUCUGGUAUUUGGACUGUGCACUGCAUUUCUUUCCUCAACGACUGCAUAUAAAAUGCUAUUUGCUGACUUCUCAUCUAUAUAAUUAAAGCAAGCCCAAUUAUCAGAAGGAUUCUUAUGAGGCUUAGCUGCUCUCCUACAUAUUC